rnacentral:rRNA from 1 species
UACGGAGGAUGCAAGCGUUAUCCGGAUUUAUUGGGUUUAAAGGGUGCGCAGGUUGUUUGAUAAGUCAGUGGUGAAAGUCUGUCGCUUAACGGUAGGAUUGCCAUUGAUACUGUUAGACUUGAAUAUGGAUGAGGUAGGCGGAAUGUGUAGUGUAGCGAUGAAAUGCAUAGAUAUUACACAGAACACCGAUUGCGAAGGCAGCUUACUAAUCCAUCAUUGAGGCUGAGGCACGAAAGCGUGGGGAUCAAA